rnacentral:lncRNA from 1 species
ACCAUUCACAAGUAAGUGCAAGACCGUUAUUGGAUCCCUCACCUAACAAUUAUUGGGUCCAACUCUAUCCUUACCCAAGAGCAACUCUUUGCUAAUAGAGUGGUUGCGUAUUCCUGGUGCAACUAAACUACUAUGACCAGCUGAGAACAAUCAACACCAGUAGCAUGCCUGCACAUUUACAAUGGUGGAAGACCUAUGGACUUAAUAUUUAUGGAGAGAUUUAGGUUUAGGUCUCAUCUAAUCAGUUAUCAUAUGAUCAAUCUAAUUGGCAUAGGCUAAACCAAACCGUCAAGUAACCUUAUCAAGACUCAAUCUUCUAAAUUAGCCAGG